rnacentral:pre_miRNA from 1 species
AGUGGGAUAGCUGGGUCAAAUGGUGAUUUCAUUCCCAGUUUUCUGAGGAAUUUCCAUACUGCUUUCCAGAGUGGUUGCACCAAUUUGCAGUCCCACCAGCAGU